GGGGACGUUUUUUUGGAUCAUUGGGCGUAAGCGCGUGUAGGCGGUCGGGCAAGUCAGAUGUGAAAGCCCUUGGCUUAACCAAGGAAGUGCAUUUGAAACUGCCCGGCUUGAGUACGGGAGGGGGAAGUGGAAUUCCCGGUGUAGAGGUGAAAUUCGUAGAUAUCGGGAGGAACACCGGUGGCGAAGGCGGCUUCCUGGACCGAUACUGACGCUGAGACGCGAAAGCGUGGGGAGCAAACAGGAUUAGAUACCCUGGUAGUCCACGCCAUAAACGAUGAGAACUAGACGUUGAGAGGGUAAGCCUCGCAGUGUCGUAGCUAACGCGCUAAGUUCUCCGCCUGGGGAGUACGGCCGCAAGGUUGAAACUCAAAGGAAUUGACGGGUCCCCGCACAAGCGGUGGAGCAUGUGGCUUAAUUCGAGGCUACGCGAAGAACCUUACCAGGGCUUGACAUCCUGAGAACCCUCUCGAAAGAGAGGGGUGCCUUUCGGGGAACUCAGAGACAGGUGGUGCAUGGCUGUCGUCAGUUCGUGUCGUGAGAUGUUGGGUUAAGUCCCGCAACGAGCGCAACCCCCGUCGCAUGUUGCCAGCAUUUAGUUGGGGACUCAUGCGAGACUGCCGGUGACAAACCGGAGGAAGGUGGGGAUGACGUCAAGUCAUCAUGCCCCUUAUGUCCAGGGCUACACACGUGCUACAUUGGCGCGUACAGAGGGUUGCGAUACCGCGAGGUGGAGCGAAUCCCUUAAAGCGCGUCUCGGUUCGGAUUGCAGGCUGAAACUCGCCUGCAUGAAGGCGGAGUUGCUAGUAAUCGCGGAUCAGCACUGCCGCGGUGAAUACGUUCCCGGGCCUUGUACACACCGCCCGUCACACCAUGGGAGUCAAUUGCUCCAGAAGUCGCCGUGCCAACCGCAAGGAGGCAGGCGCCCAAGAGUGAUUGGUAACUGGGGUGAAGUCGUAACAAGGUAAC
rnacentral:rRNA from 1 species